ensembl:lncRNA
CUGUUACACCCAGUGAGAGAGAACCAAUCAGAGACCGAUAUUAAAUCCACACAGGAGUUUAUUACUGGCUGGGACCCGAGCCAAGCAUCGGACUCGAGCCUUGACUGGGGGAGACAAACAUGUUUUAUACACCUUUGAGGCCAACAGUUUCUAGGCCCCCCUAUGGGAUAGAACUAGUAAAGCAAGCAAAAGGAAACACAGGGGACACUGGAUGACUAACAUAUAGGAGUGUUCUCGCUGCCAUCUUGCAUUGUGGACCUCCCUGCUCAAGUGUUCUCCUUCACCAUGCGGAAUAGCAUCACCACUGCUCGUGGUCACCCAGCAACAGAAACUCUCCCACUGUCACCUUGUAGCACAUAGGUCCUUGCUUUUUGUGACAAUGGCUAUUAAAACUAAAAUGGCGAUAUGACUUCACAGGCAAAAGCUUUAAUUGGAAGUGAGGGAAGAUAAAGAACUCCAUCUUAAGCAGCUGGAAAGGGACACACUCUGAUGAAGAGGAUCAGAUUGGUUCGUGCAUAGGAGAAGGGUCCAGUUAAUAAGUGUUCUCUGACUAGUCACAGUGAUUAAUGGAAUUCCCUGUCUUCAGAGACAGAGCCUGAACAAACCAGAAGUUGCUCUUCCCAGUCUCCUUUGCAGCUUGGCAAAGACAAGAUUCCUGUAAUCAGAUGAACCCUCAGUUAAUACUUUGGAAAGAAAGUUCUUAACAACUUUUCAGCUUCCAUUGACAAG